AUGCACGCUGGCGGCGUGCCUAAUACAUGCAAGUCGAGCGAACGGACGAGAAGCUUGCUUCUCUGAUGUUAGCGGCGGACGGGUGAGUAACACGUGGAUAACCUACCUAUAAGACUGGGAUAACUUCGGGAAACCGGAGCUAAUACCGGAUAAUAUUUUGAACCGCAUGGUUCAAAAGUGAAAGACGGUCUUGCUGUCACUUAUAGAUGGAUCCGCGCUGCAUUAGCUAGUUGGUAAGGUAACGGCUUACCAAGGCAACGAUGCAUAGCCGACCUGAGAGGGUGAUCGGCCACACUGGAACUGGGCCACGGUCCAGACUCCUACAGGAGGCAGCAGUAGAGAAUCUUCCGCCAUGGGCGAAAGCCUGACGGAGCAACGCCGCGUGAGUGAUGAAGGUCUUCGGAUCGUAAAACUCUGUUAUUAGGGAAGAACAUAUGUGUAAGUAACUGUGCACAUCUUGACGGUACCUAAUCAGAAAGCCACGGCUAACUACGUG
rnacentral:rRNA from 1 species